GAAACUCCUCUAGUCAGUCCUGACCUUAACGUAUACACUGACAGAAGUUCAUUUACAGAAAAUGGAGUUCGGAAGGCAGGAUGUGCAGUAGUCAGUGAUCAAAUGGUGCUUGAAGGUAAUUCCCUUCCUCCAGGAACUAUUGCCCAGCUGGCAGAACUAGUAGCCCUCACUCAAGCUCUAAAAUUAGGGAAAGGAAAGAGAAUAAACAUACACAGAGAUUCCAAAUAUGCUUACCUUGUUCUCCACGCUCAUGCUACUAUAUGAAAGGAAAGAGGGUUCCUAACCUCAGCAGGAACUCCCAUUAAAUACCAUGGGAAAUUUUAGACUUACUACGAGCUGUCCAAGAACCCAAAGAGGUAGCAGUCUCACACUGCCAAGGUCACCAGAAAGGAGAUAAGGAAGUGGAGGGCAAUUGCCGAGCUGACCUAGAGGCAAAAAGGGCAGCUAAACAAGAACUUAUAGAAGAACCUUUAAUAUGGGAAAACCCUCUCCAGGGAACUAGACCUCAAUACUCAUCAGAAGAGGUAGAGUGGGCAGUCUCCCAGGGACAUUGUCUUCUUCCUUCAGGAUGGCUAGCUACUGAGGAGGGAAAAGUACUCCUACCUGCUGCCAGCCAGUGGAAAGUACUUAAAACCCUACAUCUCCAUAUGGGUAUGGAAAAUAGAUAUUGAAUGGUCAAAUCUAUAUUUACAGAAAAAGGUCUCUUCAAGACUAUCCAACAAAUAGUCAAAGGAUGUGAAAUAUACCAGGAAAACAAUGCUCUGACACAUCGCAAAAUUCCUCCUGGGGAACAGUAAACCAGUCAUUACCCAGGUGAGGACUGACAAAUGGCCUUUACCCAUAUGCCUAAGUCCCAGGGAUAUCAAUAUCUGUUAGUAUGUGUAGAUACCUACAAAAACCAGGUUGAGGCUUCUAUCCUGUAGGAUAGAAAAAGACAAGAGGUAAUAAGAGUCCUGAUUAUAGAAAUAAUCCCUAGAUUUAGACUCCCUCGCUGUCUUCCAAGUGAUAAUGGCCGGCCUUCAGAGCUGCAGUAACCCAAGGAAUUUCCAAAGCGUUAGGAAUAUAGUAUAAUCUCCACUGUGCUUGGAGGCCUCAGUCCUCAGGAAAUGUGUAAAAGAUGAACAAAAUUCUUAAGAGACACUUAAAAAAACUGGCACAGGAACCCCACUUCCAAUGGCCCACUCUGUUACAAAUGACACUCUUAAGGGCUCAAGACUCUCCUCGGAAAAUAGGACUCAGUACCUAUGAGAUGCUUUAUGGAUGGCCGUUUCUUACCAGUGAUCUCAUAUUAGACAAAGAAACAAUAAAUGUAAUAAAAAAAUAUAACCUCCUUGGCUAAGUACCAACAGGCACUUAUGACUUUACCUGAAGGACACCCUAGGGAAAAAGGGAAAGACUUGUUCUGCCCUGGAGAUGUGGUACUUGUCAAGUCUCUCCAAUCCAACUCUCCCUCCUUAGGCCCAUCUUGGGAAGGAUGAUUUUCAGUUAUUCUGUCUACCCCAAGGUCAGUUAAGGUGGUGGAUAUUGACUCAUGGAUCCAUUACCCUUGGUUGAAACCUUGGACAUCUCCUAAAGAAGAUCAUGUGCCCUCUGCUCCACAGCCUGAGGUUCUAGGAGGCUGCUCUUCAUACACCUGCGAGCCUUCAGAGGAUCUAUUUGCUCUUCCAACAAGAUCCCCAGGAAAGUAAAUACUCUUGAGUCUAACUUACAUUAUUGACAGGAAUAUCACUUUUAACUUUACUAUUUGCAACUGGACUCCAUGUGGUUGCCCCUAAGGAUUGGCUCACAUCCUAUAGACUCUCCAUAUCUGUGACUUUCUGCCUAAUUAUACUUGUAAUAGCGAUCAUCACUCUCUUCCUACGACCUCUCCUGUGGUCCUCAUUAUCAUCUUUGCUGCCUGUGCUCUGCUUUAUUCCCAUACCACCUGCAAAUGCACCCAAAGGGGUCACAACUGGAACAAUUUUGAACGGGGAACAAGCCCACUCCCUGGUUGGUCUUGGGGAUUAGGUCAGCAGGCCUCCUUUUUAUCCUAUACUUGUAUGCACAAACAUUGCUAUACAUCUGCUUCCCACAUAAAACUCAUACACGUAGGAAAUGGGAACAAUAACCGGGCCUAAUUGUCCAGCUGCUAAGGGAAUCACUGCCUGCAGGACAUAUUUUACCCAUGUCGGGAUUUCAGAUGGGGGCAGAGUUCAAGAUCAGGCACAGGAACAGCAUCUCCGGGAAGUAAUCUCUAGCCUAAGCAAACCAUGAAGUACCCCCAGCCCCUACAAGGGCCUGGACCUUUCUAAGUUACACAAGACCCUUCGCACACACUCCUGUCUGCUCAACUUAUUUAACAGCACCCUCACAGGAAUGCAUGAGGCCUCCUCUGACAACCGAACUGACCAUUGAAUGUGCCUCCCACUACACUUCAAAUCAUAUAUCCUAGUUCCGGUUCCAUACUCACAGAACAUAACUAACUCUUCCUCAAAUCAUAUGGAGCUUAUAGGUCCCUUGGUCACCAAUCUACAGAUUCUGUCUAGCUCAAACGUCACUUGCGAGAACUCUACCAGCAACUCCAGUGCUUCUCUAUGCCAAAACUGGGUCACCUUACCACCGGACUUCAACUGCCUAGCACCAGGCUUAUUCUUUGUUUGUGGCUCCUCAGUUUACCGCUGCCUAAGCAGUACCCUGGGGGAAAUAUGCCUCCUCUCCUUCCUAGUGCCCCUCCAUGACCAUUUACACUGAUUCUCAGUUGCACAGUUUUCUUUUGCCCAGGCCAUGCCAUACUCAAAUGCCAAUUCCUCCUUUCAUAGUGGGAGCCGGAAUACUAGAUGGGCUUAGUACUGGCAUUGGAGGAAUUACUACCUAUACUCAGUUUUACUGUAAGCUAUCCCAGGCGUUAAAUAAUGACAUGGAAAAGGUUGCUGCUUUUCUCAAGACUCUACAAAAGCAGCUUAAUUCUUUAGCAGCUGUGGCUUUUCAAAAUCAAAGGGCCUGGGAUCUGUUAAUGGCAGACAAAGGAGGAACUUGUCCCUUUUUAGAAGAAUGCUGUUACUUUGUAAACCAAUCAAGUAUCGUCCUAAAUAAGGCUAAAGAACUCAGGAACCGAAUAGAACACAGAGCUAAGGACCUCCGAGAAAUAGGAUCAUGGAGCUUGCUUAACCACUGGCUACCCUGGCUCUCCCUCUUCUAGGCCCCUUAAUAACUGUCCUAUUACUGUCUGCCUUUGGGUCUCUCAUCUUUAACAUUCUUGUCAAAUUAGUGUCUUCCAGAAUUGAGGCCAUGAGGCCAUCCUGCAAAUGGAACCCCAGAUAUCCUUGGCUCAUGAUUUCUAUUGUGGACCACUGGAUCAACCUGCAGCCCUAGAAGACUCCCAUCUGGAGGAAAUUCAGCUGCAGGGCCCCUUCUACCCCCAAGUUCAGCAGGAAGUAGUUAGAGCAAUGACGGUCUCACAAUCUUGGCUCACUGCAGCCUCGACCUCCUGGGCUCAGGUGAUCCUCCUACCCCAACCUCCCAAGUAGCUGGGACUAUAGAUAUGCGUCACCAUGCCAAGCUUUUUUUUUUGUAUUUGUAGCGGAGACAAGGUUUUGCCAUGUUGUGCAGGCUGGUCUUGAACUCCUGGACUCAAGCAAUCUGUCUGCCUUGGUUUCCCAAAGAGCUGAGCCACCACACCUGGCUGUAUCUCCACUUUAAAGGAAAUCAUUUCACUUGAAGGAAGCCUUGAUAUAUGCCUGGACUAAAUAAACAGCCUCAAAGCUUCUCUGACAGUUCCCCAGAACCCCCGUCCUCCACUAUCCUUGUCUCUUGCAAAGCACAGGAUGAAGCUAUUCUCUGAAGUUUCUUUCAUUGACCUAAAAGGUAGACCUGCCAAAGAGGAACUUCACCAACGAGAAGAUUAUAACUCUUAUCACAGAGGAGGAGACUGAAAAUUAAACAACACACCUAGAGCCUAACCAAACUGUCUCAAAUCAUUGUCUGUUCUCCAGUCCCAUUCCAUUUCCAAAGAGAACAAUUCACAAGAUAAUGUCUUUCUCCUGGGUUCAUUCAUUCUCUUUAAAACUCAUUUACUCCUACAUUCCCAACUCCUUGUCUUCUAUGAAGAAAGGUAUAUAAGCAUCUGUACCCCAUUGGAUUAUGGAUAAUCAUUCUUCUGUGAUUCCCUCAAGCUAAAAUAAAAUUGUAUGCCCUUUUCUUCUGUUAA